AACUAACGCUGGCGGCGUGCCUAACACAUGCAAGUCGUACGAGAAAGUUGGCUUCGGCCGAUGAGUACAGUGGCGCACGGGUGAGUAACGCGUGGAUAAUCUGCCCUUAAGUGUGGAAUAACGUACCGAAAGGUGCGCUAAUACCGCAUAAUGCCUGGCAACAUAAGUUGUCCGGCCAAAGAAGGCCUCUGCUUGCAAGCUUUCGCUAAAGGAUGAGUCCGCGUACCAUUAGCUAGUUGGUGGGGUAACGGCCUACCAAGGCGACGAUGGUUAGCUGGUCUGAGAGGAUGAUCAGCCACACUGGAACUGAGACACGGGUCCAGACUCCUACGGGAGGCAGCAGUGAGGAAUAUUGCGCAAUGGGGCAACCCUGACGCAGCAACGCCGCGUGAGUGAGGAAGGUUUUCGGACUGUAAAGCUCUGUCGAGCGGGAAGAAGUGUACCAUGGCUAAUAUCCAUGAUAUUUGACGGUACCGCUAGGAGGAACG
rnacentral:rRNA from 1 species